AAUUCCCAUCCCACCGAAUCCAUCCUUUCCACGGGGCACAAGCCAGUGGCCUUCGGGGGUCUCUCUCCCCAAGGUGGCGCAUCCGUCACGGCUAUCUAUUUCCAGAAGGUUUCCGUUUCCAUCCCCUCCCUCCGAAAGAAAAAACGGCCCCACUCCCGGAUCUGCCUCACCACGACCACCACCACCACCACCGCCGCCGCCGCCGCCGCCGCCGCCGCCGCCGCCAUCUGCUGUCGCCCUCUAGGGUUGGACCGUUCUAGCUCUCUCCUCUGUGUGGAAUCGCAACGUCUUAGGGCUGUCGUGCUCCGCAGCCGUCACGUGUCGUGGAUCCUGGGCACCACCACGCCACCCCGCCCCCGCCCCCCCGCCAUAGCUGUCGAUCGCUAUGUGGCACGCCUACGUUUGCCCAAAAGGGCAGUCCGAUGGACAGCGUGGGUGCUUUUCCCAGCAGGCAGGCAGGUGAGAGUCACCCCUCUAGAAGGUUUCCAAGCCCCGUUCCAUUCUCAGAGGCAGCUCCUUUGGCCAUCAAGGAGGCAGGCGAUGGGGGUGCGUGUGGAGAUAGGGGAUGUGACCGGGGCCCUCUGUCCCUCUGUCGCGGUAUAAUGAUUGGGAAAGGGAGGGACGAUGGGCCGUAGGUCAACCAUCCUGGGCGGUGGUGCUUUUGGGAGCUUUUUUCUAGGAAGAGGAGCGAACGGCCUUCCCUGGGAAGGGAGGAAACCAGAGGAGGUCCCCCUCAGACCGACCUGACACGAGAAGGACACUCUCUCUCUCUCUCCCUUUUCUUCCUGACUUGAAAUCAGGAGACAAAACUCCCCUGCCAAAGGGGCCCUCCCGAAACGGGGAGUGAGGAAGACCUCCUUCUCUUCACGGCUGAAGUUCUCCCUGCCUUUCCUGGACGGGAAGGAUAGCACCUACGCCCGCUGCCGUCGGCGACUUUUAGUCCACCUGGAGAGGAAGAAAUUCUUUCCCGUGGCCGAACCCUGGCGGUUCGUUCGUGCUGCAGAGGACGUGGCCCUCUCUGACACACCCAGGAACCUCCUCGCUCCGGGUCGCUCCGGGUCGAGGAGAGGGAGUUCUGUUCUGUGGUUUAGAAUGGUGCUUAAAAAGGGACAUCGCUUACAAAGGGUCCUCGUCCCCCUUCCUAAACGGACGGCUCGGCUCGGAGGCGUGAGAUACGUUUCGCAUCCUCCUCGUCGUCUUCACUCAAAGUUUUAUUGGAGUUUUGAAGAUUUUAUUUUUUGUCUUUCCUUUUUCUCCCCAAAGCCCCCCGGUACAUAGUUGUGUGUUCUUCGUUGUGGGUCCUUCUAGCGGUGGCAUGUGGGACGCCGCCUCAGCGUGGUUUGAUGAGCAGUGCCGUGUCCGCGCCCGGGAUCCGAACCGACGAAACACUGGGCCGCCUGCAGCGGAGCGCGCGAACUUAACCACUCGGCCACGGGGCCAGCCCCUUACUGGAUUUUUAAAACAACUCCGGGGGCCGGCCCGGUGGCGCAGCGGUGAAGUUCGCACGUUCCGCUCCGCCGGCCCCGGGUUCGCCGGUCCGGAUCCCGGGCGCAGGACCCAGCACCGCUUGGCGAGACACUCUAUGGCAGGCAUCCCACCUGGA
rnacentral:lncRNA from 1 species